CCCUCGGAAGCGAGUGGACUCCCCCAUGCUGAGCCGGCACGGGAAGCGGCGGCCGGAGCGGAAGUCCAUGGAAGUCCUGAGUAUCACGGAUGCGGGCGGCGGCGGCUCCCCGGUGCCCACCCGGCGGGCCCUGGAGAUGGCCCAGCACAGUCAGAGAUCCCGUAGCGUCAGUGGAGCCUCCACCGGCCUGUCCUCCAGUCCUCUGAGCAGUCCGCGGAGUCCGGUCUUUUCCUUCUCACCGGAGCCUGGGGCUGGAGAUGAGGCUCGGGGAGGAGGCUCCCCGACUUCCAAAAC